CCAUUUUAAAAUUCGGAAAUGAACCAACAAAAUGGCGACAAAUUAAAAACCAACAUUUAAUAUUCUCACGAUUUUUAUCGUUUCCUUGAAGAAUAAGCAGUUCGCAGGUCAUUAUAUGUGUAUAUAUUGUGAACAGUUCUUGUAACGUAUCGUUGAACUGAGCAUUGUUUUGUGAAGUGCAGACACGAUGGCAAAUUUCAAUAUCCAGGACGAAAAUUAUCCAGGAAGAUGUCAAAUUUGUUGAGAAAAUCAACAGGGUUGGGAUUUGUGCAAUGAACCAACAAGAAGGUAAGCAAUAUGUCUAACCCUAAAGUUGCUACCGUUAGUUCAAUGCUUGAAUGCUUCUUCUAUCUUGAGCGUUAGAAACAGUUUAUUUUAGCUUUGUUCAGAAAACAAUACAGGAAUAUAAUAUACAUCGAGCCCAAAAGGUUUAUACUACACACGCGAAAAUCUCACAUCCUGUAGCAAGUUUUCCAACAGGCCGUCAACAAGUUGUGAUCGCACUGCUUGUACCAAGUUGUCAACAAGUAUGGAACAACUUCUUAACAGUCGUAACAAUUACCUUCAGUUGAUAUUAUCAGACUUGUAGCAAGGUUGUUCCAAUUACUAUAGUGCAAUGCAAUUAUGAGGACAAUAUUGUUACAACCUUGUGUCGUCAACCUUGUACUAUCAGACUUGUUAGAACAACAUUGCAACAAGUCUGAUAAUGGCUUCAAGUUUGUUAAAGUUGUUACCAGCUUGUUCCAAACUUGUUACAACAACUGGGAACAAGCAGUGUGAACACAACUUGUUGACAGUUUCUGAACAAACUUGCAACAACUUGUUUGCAGACCUAUAACAACAUAUGUAUUUUUACAUGUGUAGUUGAAUUUGAGUGAAUCAAGCUCAAUCAUCAAACAUACACACACAAAAUCUCACAUCUUGUAGCAAGUCUGCCAACAAGCCGUCACAAAGUUGUGUUUGCACUGCUUGUCCAAGUUGUCAACAAGUUUGGAACAAGCUGUUAACAACUUGUAACAACCUUGUUGAUAUCAUCAAACUUGUUGCAAGGUUGUUCCAUUAAGUGUGAUACACUCUGGACAUAACAACAUUGUUACAACCUUUUGCCGUCAACUUUGUAACGUUCUUGUUAUAUCAUGACUGUGUCACACUUUUUAGAACAACCUUGCAACAAGUCUGGUAAUGCCAACAAGCUUGUUACAUUAAGUUGUUAACAGCUUGUUCGAAAUUUUUAGCAACAGCUAGGAACAAGCAACUGGUGCGAACACGACUUGUCAACAACUUGGGAACAGAUUUGUAAAAACUUUUUGCACACCUGUAACAACUUGUGCAUUUUAAGUGUGUAGGGCACAUCUACACACGUAAAACCACACAUGUAACAACAGGUCUGCAAAGUCGUUGUUACAAAUCUGUCUACAAGUUGUCGAGAAGUUGUAUUUGUAUUGCUUGUUCGGUGUUGCAACCUUGCAAGACAUUUGUUAUAUCAUGACUGUAUCAAACGGGUUAGAACAGUCUUGUAACAGGUAUGAUAAUGCCUGCCAUCAAGCUUGUUAACAAGUUGUGUGCAUACACGCAAAAAGCUCAAGAACUUGUCAGCAAGAUGUGUUUGCUACAGGCUUGUAGCAAACUUGUCAACAAGUUGUGACAACGCUGUUAUUUUAUCAAGUUGCUACAAGGUUGUCGCUAACAGCUUGUAGACAAAUUUUUGAAUUGCAGGACGAUUGCAGGACGACCUCAAGUUGUUGGAACAACUUGCUGUUAUUCCGUCGAACUCAACAACCUUGUAGCAAGCUGUCCAGGAACCGUUUAUAACUUGUCAACAAGCCGGGAAAAAGAAGUGCGCGAACACAUCCCGUUGACAAGUUGUUGAAACAGCAUCGCUACAAAUCUGCUGCAGGUUUUUUACAACAUGUGCGUUUUUAAGUGUGUACACACGCAAAAUCUCACAUCUUGUAACAAGUCUGCCAACAAGCCCUCCACAAGUUGUGUUCGCACUGCUUGUCCCCAGGUGUCAACAAGUGCGGAACAAGCUGUUAACAACUUCUAACAACCUUGUUUAUAUAUGUCAGACUUGUUAAAGGUUGUUCCAACAAGUCCGAUACAGUCAUGAUAUAACAAUAUUGUUACAACCUUGUGUCAUCAACCUUGUAACAUUCUUGUUAUAGAAUGACUGUAUCAGAGUUGUUAGAACAACAUUGUAACAAAUCUGAUAAUGCCAUCAAGCUUGUUACAAGUUGUUAACAGCUUGUUCCAAACUUGUUACAACAACUGGGAACAGGCAGUACCAACCCUCCUUUUCGACAAAUUGUGAGCAGACUUGCAACAAUUAACUUGUAACAACUUUUAAACAACUGUUUGCAGACCUGUAACAACUUGUGCAUUUUUACGCGUGUACGUACGUAAAAACGCACAUGUUACAGAUCUGCAAACAAGUUGUUACAAGUCUGCUCUCAAGCUGUCGACAAGUUGUGUUGGUACUGCUUCUUCCCAGUUAUUGUAACAAGUUUGGAACAAGCUGUUAACAAGCUUGAUAGCAUUAUCAGAGUUGUUAGGUACAGCCAUGAUAUAACAAGAAUGUUACAAGGUUGAUGAUCCAAGGUUGUUACAAUAUUGUUAUAUCAUGACUGUAUCGGACUUGUUGGAACAACCUUGCAACAAGUCUGACGUUAUCAACAAGGUUGUUAGAAGUUGUUAAGAGCUUCUUCCAAACUUGUUGACAACUUGGGACAAGCUGUGCGAACACAACUUGUUGACGGCUUGUUGCCAGACUUGCUACAAGAUGUGAGAUUCUCGCGUGUGUACACGCGUAAAAACACACAGCUUGUGACAAAUCUGCAGCAGACGUCUAGCAAUACUGUACCAACAAUUUGACAACAGGAUGUGUUCGCACUGAUUGUUCCCAGCUCGCUGACAAGUUGUCAUCGGCUUGUUGACUUGCUAGAGGAUGCGAGAUUUUUAUGCGUGUAUGACGCAACGUCGUUAAUCGCAAAAUCUGAGAAUAAAGUAGGUCGUUUGCAACACUGGCUGCAAAACAAAGUCUGUCGAAGUAGUUAGUGCAAUGUUGGCUUGAUUUCAGUUACUGUCUAUUCUGCAUUUUCAAUAUUUGUACAGAGAUUAGCUUUGACGACAUGUAUGUAUUUAACCAUGUAUAAUGUGUAAUUUAGUGCAAUGUUGGCUUGAUUUCAGUUACUGCCUAUUCUGCAUUUUCAAUAUUUGUACAGAGAUUAGCUUUGACGACAUGCAUGUAUUUAACCCUGUAUAAUGUGUAAUUUAGUGCAAUGUUGGCUUGAUUUCAGUCACUGCCUAUUCUGCAUUUUCAAUAUUUGUACAGAGAUUAGCUUUGACGACAUGCAUGUAUUUAACCCUGUAUAAUGUGUAAUUUAGUGCAAUGUUGGCUUGAUUUCAGUCACUGUCUAUUCUGCAUUUUCAAUAUUUGUACAGAGAUUAGCUUUGAUGACAUGUAUGUAUUUAACCAUGUAUAAUGUGUAAUUUAGUGCAAUGUUGGCUUGAUUUCAGUUACUGUCUAUUCUGCAUUUUCAAUAUUUGUACAGAGAUUAGCUUUGACGACAUGUAUGUAUUUAACCAUGUAUAAUGUGUAAUUUAGUGCAAUGUUGGCUUGAUUUCAGUUACUGUCUAUUCUGCAUUUUCAAUAUUUGUACAGAGAUUAGCUCUGACGACAUGUAUGUAUUUAACCAUGUAUAAUGUGUAAUUUAGUGCAAUGUUGGCUUGAUUUCAGUUACUGUCUAUUCUGCAUUUUCAAUAUUUGUACAGAGAUUAGCUUUGACGACAUGCAUGUAUUUAACCCUGUAUAAUGUGUAAUUUAGUGCAAUGUUGGCUUGAUUUCAGUUACUGUCUAUUCUGCAUUUUCAAUAUUUGUACAGAGAUUAGCUUUGACGACAUGCAUGUAUUUAACCAUGUAUAAUGUGUAAUUUAGUGCAAUGUUGGCUUGAUUUCAGUUACUGUCUAUUCUGCAUUUUCAAUAUUUGUACAGAGAUUAGCUUUGACGACAUUAUGUAUUUAACCAUGUAUAAUGUGUAAUUUAGUGCAAUGUUGGCUUGAUUUCAGUUACUGUCUAUUCUGCAUUUUCAAUAUUUGUACAGAGAUUAGCUUUGACGACAUGCAUGUAUUUAACCAUGUAUAAUGUGUAAUUUAGUGCAAUGUUGGCUUGAUUUCAGUUACUGUCUAUUAUGCAUUUUCAAUAUUUGUACACAGAUUAGCUUUGACGACAUGCAUGUAUCUAUUUAACCCUGUAUAAGAAUACCGCACUAUUGCCACCAAAAACAAACGAAAAUGGAGAAUAGACAGUAACGACUUACACCAGGCAAACAUUACACUAAAUAUUUUUACAAAAUAUGCGGCGGUCCAUUACGUAAAAACAAACGCAUGCAUUUUAAAACAAAACAGCAAAACUAAUUAAAAAUUUGAAAAUUAUAAUUUUGUUAUUAAUAAGAUUUCGUGAAGAUUAGUGAAAAAGAAGGAAAACAUUGAUAUUUUUUGUUUUCUUCUACCAAAUGUGUACCACGCUACUAAUAUGCAUUUCAAAUCAUUCAUUUCUUGUUAGUUGCAAGUAUAAAUGCCAUAUAAUUAACCUCGCUUGCUCGGUAUAUACAGAGAAAUAUCGGAUCUCGGUCUUUUUGUACAAACCUCGCCCUACGGGCUCGGUCUGUACAAAAAAGGCCUCGGUCCGAUAUUUCAUUGUACAGAUAGACCUCGCGUUCGGUUAAUAAGAAGUUAUUCUUUAUUGCAAGUUAUUGAGUUAAGAAUGGCUUAGAAAUUUCGUAGAUAUGAAUAAAUUGACAACACAAUAUGUUUGGCAUAAAAUUUUACUACUGAAAUGUUUACACUUACCCAACCGGCACAACAACGAUUAAAUUAUUAGAAAACAUCAAUAUCAAAACAAUUAUCUAAGUAUUCAGCCAAUUACACACGCAACAAUCUCACGUCUUGUCACAUUGUCAACAAGAUGUGUUCACAACAGCCUUGUCGUAAGCUUGUAAACAAGUUGCAACAAUGUUGUUGUUAUUUCAAGUUGCUACAUGGUUGUCAUUCACAGCUUCGUUAACAGGUUGUUGAAUUUACAGGACGAUAUCAUCAAGUUCUUGGAAAAAGUCUGUUAUAUAAUUAAGUUCAACAUCUUAUAUCCACAUCCCCAAGCUGGGAACAAGCAAUGCAAACACAACAGUUUUCAACAGAGUUUUUUAUGUUUUGUGAUUUUCAAGUCAAAAUCGGUUUCGAAAAGCCACUGUAUAUUACUAACAAAUAAAGUUUAGUGCGGCUUUAUUGUGAUGAGAACAGCCAAUUUGUCAUGCAAAUAUCCCCUCUUCUCCCCCCCCCACCCCCUCCCCCCCUUCCACCCCCUGGGAAAGAACGCUGACAUAAAAAUUAGACCGUGGAGAAAAGACCCGCGAAAAGAACCCGCGACAAAAUAUCUGCAAAAAACCCGCGACUCGCGAAAAAAAAACCCGCGACAACUAGACUUCAUCAUGACUGUAACGCACUUGUUAGAACAACGCUGUAACAACUGUGAUAAUGCUUGUUAACAGCAUGCAAUAAGCUGUUGAUCCAAAAAGUCCAAUGCAGUCAUGAUAUAACAAUAUUGUUACAAUCUUGCGUCACCUUGCCACAUUCUUCUUAUAGUAUGACUGUAACACAGUUGUUGCAAUAACCUUGUAACAAGUUUGUUAAUGCCGUCAAGCUUGUUUCAAGCUGUCAACAGCUUCUUCCAAACUUGCUACAAAAACUUGGAACAAGAAGUGCGAACACAACUUGUCGACAGCUUUUGAGCAGAUGUGUAACAACUUGUUUCCAGACCUGUGACAACUUGUGCGUUUUUACUUGUCUAUAGACCACAGUUCUUGUACCAAAUAUGGAACAAGCUGUUAACAACUUGUAACAAGCUUGAUGGCAUAUCAGACUUGUUACAAGGUUGUUCUAACUAGUCUAACACAGUCAUGACGUAACAAGAAUGCUACAAAGUUGAUAACACAAGGUUGUAACAAUAUUAUUAUAGCAUGCCCGUUAUAUCAUACCCGACUUGUUGGAACAACCUUGCAACAAGUCUGAUAAUAUCAACAAGGUUGUUGCAAGUUGUUAGCAGCUUGUUCUAAACUUGCUGACAACUUGGGACAAGCAGUGUAAACAUAACUUGUUGAAGACUUGUUGACAGACUUGCUACAAGAUGUGAUAUUUUUGCGUUUGUAACAGACUUCACAUGUAAAAACGCACAAGUUGUUGCAGGUCUGCAAACAAGUUGUUAAAAGUCUGUUCACAAGUUGUCGACAAGUUGUGUUUCACAAUGCUUGUUCCCAAGUGGUUGCAACAAGUUUGGAAGACGCUGUUAACAACUUGUAACAAGCUUGAUAGCAUUAUCGGAUUUGUUACAAGGUUGUUCUAACAAGUGUGAUACAGUCAUGAUGUAACAAGAAUGUUACAAGAUUGAGGACACAAGGUUGUAACAAUAUUGUUAUAUCAUGACCGUAUUGGACUUGUUAAAACAACCUUGCAACAAGUUUGCUAAUAGCACCAAGGUUGUUACAACUGUUAACAAAUUGUUCCAUGCUUGUUGACAACUUGGACAAGCAAUGCGAAUACAACUUGUUGACGUCUUGUUGGCAGACUUGCUACAAGUGAGAUUUUUGCGUGUGUAGCUCAAUGUUGUUUAGAUGGUGUUUCAAUUCUGAGUGCUAAAUUUCAGAUGUUCUUGUAAUAACCCUGUGUACAAAUUGGUUAUAUUCUUAUUAAUUGUGUGUGGUUUUUUUGCAGAUAUUCUCGCGAUAUUGUUACUCAAUAUCGUCCUGUUGGGACGCGUCUUUACUUCUCAAUUGAAAGUCAUGUUCACACCCUGAUUAAUGCCAUUAGAUAUGGAAAUCUUUGUGACGUAAGUACAGUGACAUCUCUUCGAUUGCAAAAGCGUGCAGCUCGUACGCACGUGCAAACGCGCAAGUCGUUAUAGAUCGGUAAACAAGUUGUAACAAUAUAUCACGAUGUGUUUGAUGUGUUCCUGGUUGUUGUGACAACUUUGGAACAAGUUGUUAUCACCUUGUCACGAGGUUGAUGGCGGUAACAGACUCGCUACAAGUUGUUCCAACAAGACUAAUACAGGCUCGUUGUAACCAACUUUCUAGCAAUUUGUUACGUGCAGACGAUAUAAGACUUAUUGGAACAACUUGUUGCGAGUCUUUUGGCCUCUCAUCGACCUGGUUACAAGAUGAUGACAACUUGUCCAAGACUAGUCAACAACUGGGAACAAGCAGUGUGAACACAUGCAUUUGGUUUUUACCCGUGUCUUAUUCUAGAUGCUAACUGUUCUACUCCUUCUCCAAAAUUCACAUAAUUCCAAUCUUUGAUUUAAACAAACUUAGGGACCUCGGUGGCGAAGUGGCUAACGCACUUGCCUUUCACCUCCAAGACCGCAGGUCCAAAUCUCAGUGCGAACCUUCUCAACGCGACUCGAACCCAGUCCACACGCUAAAAGAGCAAAAGGCAACGCGCCGCCGAAAGUCGUGGACCCCUUCGGGUACUCCGGUCUCCCCCACAGGGAACGUUGACAGGGUGGGUUAGGUAAAAGGGUCCACAGUACAGUAAUUGGCAUAUGCUGCUGUGGUGACCCUGCCCUAGUUGGCAAAGCUAAUACAAUAAGACAAAAACUUACUCUAUGCUCGUCUAAACAAAUGUUUAAGAGGUAUUUCUUUUCAAUGUAUUUGCGAUGAAAAGGGUUCAGAACCUAAAAUCGAUUUGGGGUUCCUUUCAAAAUUACUUUGUUUUAGCUUUAUUUUGUAAUUUACACAGUUUGCAACCUUUUUAAAUGCAUCUGGCGUUUUGAGAAACGCAAAAUAAUAGUUAAAUAUUGUCAAUUCAAAUACAGUUAUUAUUAAUGCUGUAUUUAUACAGCCAUACAAGCAAAACUCACUGAACUUCAGACAUCAUUUUCUCUUGCAUGGUUGAGUUACUCGCCCUAUAUCACCUCAUAUUUCAAAAUUUUCCAUUGCAUUCCUUUACCGAUAUCUUUCUCCGUUCUUGAAAUUAUUGACCAAAAACAAUGGACUGCUUGCCAACGCGGAUGGACUGUCUACCAUCUUUUGAUUAACGAUUUCUUUGGCAACGUGGAAAACAGCAUUAAUGAAGGCUAAGUAUGUAACUAUGGGAAAACGUAAUACUUGACGUCAAGCGCUUUUGAUCAUAAUUAUUCACAUGUAAAUUUGCGCCAUAACGAAAUGUUAGUAUUAUUUUUUUCUUUUUUGACAGAAACAUUGCGUGUGAUUUACGGCGAUACAAGACCACCUGAAGCGAAAGAAAAUAUACAAAAAUGACAACUACAGUACUGCUGCCAGAACGUCGAACAGCCCAAAGAGAUGCAGGAGCGACCAUUUCUUCCACCAGACAUCACACCAAAGAUGAUGCAACAAAAAACAUGAUCAUAAUUCAUAUACUUAUGCAUUGUAUGUUUUCAAUAUGUCGAUGGCAUCGCAAAUUUUUUCAAUAUAAAGGAUCAGUCCUCUAUAUUUAAGAAUUUGUGACGCGAAGCUACAAAUCUAAGUCGUUACUAAUAGUGAUUGAGG